ACUCCUACGGGAGGCAGCAGGGGGGAAUAUUGGACAAUGGAGGAAACUCUGAUCCAGUGACGCCGCGUGAAGGAAGAAGGUCUUCGGAUUGUAAACUUAUUUUGUCAGGGAAGAAAUAAAGACUUCCGAAGAAAAAGCACCGGCUAACUACGGCCAGCAGCCGCGGUAAU
rnacentral:rRNA from 1 species